AACGAACGCUGGCGGCAUGCCUAAUACAUGCAAGUCGAACGAUCACUUCGGUGGUAGUGGCGCACGGGUGCGUAACGCGUGGGAAUCUGCCCGUGGGUUCGGAAUAACGUCGGGAAACUGGCGCCAAUACCGGAUGGUGACGUAAGUCCCAAGAUUUAUCGCCCAGGGAUGAGCGCGCGUAGGAUUAGCUAGUUGGUGGGGUAAAGGCCUACCAAGGCGACGAUGCUUAGCUGGUCUGAGAGGAUGAUCAGCCACACUGGGACUGAGACACGGCCCAGUCUCCUACGGGGGGCAGCAGUAGGGAGUAUUGGACGAUGGGGGCAACCCUGAUCCAGCAAUGCCGCGUGAGUGAUGAAGGCCUUAGGAUUGUAAAGCUCUUUUACCCGGGAUGAUAAUGACAGUACCGGGAGAAUAAGCCCCGGCUAACUCCGUGCCAGCCGCCGCCGUAA
rnacentral:rRNA from 1 species